GGAUGUGAGGGCGAUCUGGCUGCGACAUCUGUCACCCCAUUGAUCGCCAGGGUUGAUUUGGUUGAUCUGGCUGGCUAGGUGGGUGUCCCCUUCCUCCCUCACUGCUCCAUGUGCGUCUCUCCUGAAGGUGUGCACUCCAUCAAAGAGGACGGCCUUCCCCGAAAUAUAAAGGACCUGUCUUUGGUCAAGGGUAUAGGAGUAGCUGUGCUCCCCUGUUAGAACCUUCAAACAAGCUCUCAAGAAUAAAGGAUAAUAAGUAAGGGCAUAAAGUGAAACUUGAUCUGGGUAUGGCAUAUUUC
rnacentral:snRNA from 1 species